AGAGUUUGAUCCUGGCUCAGGAUGAACGCCCUUUGGUGUGCCUAAUACAUGCAAGUCGUACGCACUGGCCCAACUGAUUGAUGGUGCUUGCACCUGAUUGACGUUGGAUCACCAGUGAGUGGCGGACGGGUGAGUAACACGUAGGUAACCUGCCCCGGAGCGGGGGAUAACAUUUGGAAACAGAUGCUAAUACCGCAUAACAACAAAAGCCGCAUGGCUUUUGUUUGAAAGAUGGCUUUGGCUAUCACUCUGGGAUGGACCUGCGGUGCAUUAGCUAGUUGGUAAGGUAACGGCUUACCAAGGCGAUGAUGCAUAGCCGAGUUGAGAGACUGAUCGGCCACAAUGGAACUGAGACACGGUCCAUACUCCUACGGGAGGCAGCAGUAGGGAAUCUUCCACAAUGGGCGCAAGCCUGAUGGAGCAACACCGCGUGAGUGAAGAAGGGUUUCGGCUCGUAAAGCUCUGUUGUUGGAGAAGAACGUGCGUGAGAGUAACUGUUUACGCAGUGACGGUAUCCAACCAGAAAGUCACGGCUAACUACGUGCCAGCAGCCGCGGUAAUACGUAGGUGGCAAGCGUUAUCCGGAUUUAUUGGGCGUAAAGCGAGCGCAGGCGGUUGCUUAGGUCUGAUGUGAAAGCCUUCGGCUUAACCGAAGAAGUGCAUCGGAAACCGGGCGACUUGAGUGCAGAAGAGGACAGUGGAACUCCAUGUGUAGCGGUGGAAUGCGUAGAUAUAUGGAAGAACACCAGUGGCGAAGGCGGCUGUCUGGUCUGCAACUGACGCUGAGGCUCGAAAGCAUGGGUAGCGAACAGGAUUAGAUACCCUGGUAGUCCAUGCCGUAAACGAUGA
rnacentral:rRNA from 1 species